rnacentral:rRNA from 1 species
UACGUAGGGUGCAAGCGUUAAUCGGAAUUACUGGGCGUAAAGCGUGCGCAGGCGGUUUUGUAAGACAGGUGUGAAAUCCCCGGGCUCAACCUGGGAAUUGCGUUGGAGACUGCAAGGCUGGAGUCUGGCAGAGGGGGGUAGAAUUCCACGUGUAGCAGUGAAAUGCGUAGAGAUGUGGAGGAACACCGAUGGCGAAGGCAGCCCCCUGGGUCAAGACUGACGCUCAUGCACGAAAGCGUGGGGAGCAAACAGG